UACCUCGUUGACCGGAAGGGAUUCCUUCCGGUUGAUGAGAAAGAUUUACCUCAUCGACUGGAAGGAAUCCCUUCCGGUCAAUGAGGAA
rnacentral:miRNA from 1 species